UUUACAGGGAGGCUAGCAAUACUGUAGAUGGGAUUGUUACGUAUAUAGCCAACCAUACAGGAUUUGUUUUUUUGGAACACUACCACGCUGGUCCCGGAAUGUGCCGUAGUAUGAUGCAUUGGACCGUAAGGGGGUAUAUGGUUCGCAAUCGGAAUAAAAAUUGAUAUAGAUUGAAAUCGAAAUCGGAAUGAUAAAUUCUCUCGAAGUAUUUAGUUCAUAAUAAAAAUUAAAAUCAGAAUAAAAUUUAAAUCAUUAAGGAAGAAUAG
rnacentral:lncRNA from 1 species